GUCUAUGUAUUUUUAUGGCAGCCGGAGCUGACUAAUACAGACCUCAUUGCCCAUUCUUUCUUUGCCUUUGACUCCUAGGUCUUUAGCCUGCUAUAAUCAUGGAAAGAAGGGGAUUCCUUGUUGCUGCUUUGGUCUUUUGGUUUCGAGGCUUUUCUUCACUUGCUUCUGGGAGGAAACACUAUGAAGGCAAGAGUGCCGGCUUCCUAAGGAGAGAGUCAGAAGAUGAGCUGCAGAUUUCAACCCUGCCACUACUUGUGUGAACCCAGACAAGUCCUUUAGUAUCUCCAGCUCUCAGACAGGUUGCUUCAGCUCUUUGAGGCUCACAUUUUCUCAUCUGCAACACUGCAGACACUGCUAUACUCUGAAAUUUGGAACGACAGCUAGCUUUGGAGACUGGAAGCCCUGGAUGUGCAUCUCAGAUUCACCACUUUCUAGUUGGCUGAGCCAAUCUUCAGACAGGCCAGGUAACCCGAGCCUCUGUAAAGUGGGGAUCACAGCUACUCUAUGAAGUUGUGAGAGAGAGAAUGUUGUCAUUGGACAUGUCGAGUUGCCUCAUGAACACAAACACAUCCCACUUCCAAAGAUUGAACUACGCUUGUUUAGUAAACCAAACCAAAACAUUUAAAACGAUAGUUUUCUCUUUUUAACUCUGAAGUUAAUGCAUUUUCACAGCCCUAAUUCCAUUCUCAAUCGUUCCCAAUCUUUUAAAAGUGAUUUGGAAAUAAGCAUGCUGUUGCUGACACGCUUUUAGAAGGAGGAAAUUAACACACGAGUGUGAGUUGUGCACUAGACUCUAAUCGAGGUCUUUCCUCAUUAACAUAGUUGAUUCUCAUAACAACCCCAUGAAAUAGGAGUGAUUUUCCAGAAAGAAACUGAGGCUCAGAGAUGAACUUGUAGGGGGAAAAGCCCCUAAAAAGCCUAGUCUAACUGUAAAACCCUGCUCUUUUUACUCAUCAUGCCAGGCUGCACUUUAAACGUGCCAAACAAAUGAAAUUAUUUAAAAAAUAAAAACAAAUGGAAGUUAAUUUCCUCCUGAAGAAUUCUUUUUAAAAUGCCACGAGAACUCUCGGGAUAAUUGGAGACAUCCUUGGGCGGCACAGAACCACUGUUAUGGACUGUUACCUAAGCUCAAAGCACCACUGUAACUUUAUCCCACUGUACUUUCUGUUUGGCCGAAAAGAAACCAAGCUUCCUGGAGCCGGCUUCCACUUGGAUUCCAGCUUUCUGGCUCCUGAUGUGGAUUUGUGGUUUUCAACUGCUUGCAGUUUAAAUAGAAAAGACUAGAAGGCCUUGGAGAACUGGAAAAGGCAGGACAGCUGGGCGUCAUGUAGUUCUGAACUUUGACCAGCAGGUGUCUCCACAGACAAGGGAGAAGGUUCCUUUUGGCCUUGGAGGUGGAAGAUGGAUUUUCUAGUUUGAGGAAAACAGUGGCGGAAAUGAAGCAAACAAAGAGGCCUCUUUGUUCGUGACAUCCUCCAGAGAGUGGCAGAAGCUGCUGUACUGGAUGUUCAAAUGAUCUCCCGGGGUGGAGGAGACGCUGUAAAGUCACUAGUGAGAAUGGUUUCAGUGCUGCUCCUCUAG
rnacentral:lncRNA from 1 species